GUCCGGAUUUACUGGGUGUAAAGGGUGCGUAGGCGGCUUUGCAAGUCAGAUGUGAAAUCUAUGGGCUCAACCCAUAGCCUGCAUUUGAAACUGCAGAGCUUGAGUGAAGUAGAGGCAGGCGGAAUUCCCCGUGUAGCGGUGAAAUGCGUAGAGAUGGGGAGGAACACCAGUGGCGAAGGCGGCCUGCUGGGCUUUAACUGACGCUGAGGCACGAAAGCGUGGGU
rnacentral:rRNA from 1 species